rnacentral:lncRNA from 1 species
AUAAUUAAAAACCAAUUGUUCAGAGAACAAUUGUAGGUCUUUCCACUAGUAAAGAUCUAUUUUGAUAUUGAAAUAUUAAAAAUCAGUUUAAAAUGUUAGUUCCUAUGGCUUUAUGAUGUAUUUAUAUGAAUUUAAAGCAAAGGUCAAAAUCUAGAACGUCAUAUCAACCUAUGACCUUGACCUCAAUUUCAAGUUCACAAACCAAGGACCUUAAAUCAAAAGACCCAAGGUCUUUAAUAUGUUUGGUUUAUUAGUAAUAUCACUUUACGCGUAAUUCUAAAUGUAAGAUGGGCAAAAACUCCCAUUUAUUGUCUGCGCACCCUUUCAAUCAAAAUAUACAAGUAAGGACAUGUCACAACUAACAAUUUAUGAAAAAUUAUUUGUCGAUAUGUCAUAAGGUAUUUGAAAAUAAAUGAAAAUAAGCCAAAAUCAAAAUUUAGAAUAUGACCUUGACCUUUGACCUUGACCUCAUUUUUAUUAUUUUCGACCAAGGACCCCAAAUCUAAAGACCCUAUGUCUUGAUCACUUAUGGUUUACCAUUUAGAAAUGCAUAUCACUUAAUUAAAUGGAAAAGGGGGAAUAACUCUCAUAUGGAGUCUCCGUAAAGCUUCGGUCCAAAUGAAUAUCCUAAUCCUUAAGAUGUAACGAGCAAUUUGGUAAAAUAAAUUUGUCGUAAUCUUUAACGGUUGCGAAGGAGUAGUGGCCACAAGAAAAACAGUGUUUGGGGAGAUAACUCUUACAACGUAAAGUAUUUUGUUACACAGUUGUAAAGUUUUAAAGCGUAUAAACUAUACGAUACCAUAUUCCAAAUAUCUAAGCGACAUCUUUUGAAACAUCAAUAAUACGCAAGAAAAAAAAUUAGGCGGAAGAAAAAAAAAAAAAUAAUAAUCAGAACAAAUUCAAUAGGUCUUUCCACGGAAAGGUGGAAAGACCUAAUUAUGAUAUCGAUU